UACGUAGGGGGCUAGCGUUGUCCGGAAUCAUUGGGCGUAAAGCGCGCGUAGGCGGCCAGAUAAGUCCGGUGUGAAAGUCACAGGCUCAACCUGUGGAUGCCGCUGGAAACUGUUUGGCUCGAGUCCGGAAGGGGCGAGUGGAAUUCCUGGUGUAGCGGUGAAAUGCGUAGAUAUCGUAAGGAAGACCAGUGGCGAAGGCGGGUCUCUGGACAGUUCCUGACGCUGAGGCACGAAGGCCAGGGGAGCAAACGGG
rnacentral:rRNA from 1 species